GGAGCCUGAGAAACGGCUACCACAUCUAAGGAAGGCAGCAGGCGCGCAAAUUACCCAAUGAAAACAGUUUCGAGGUAGUGACGAGAAAUAACAAUACAGGGCAUCAAAUGUCUUGUAAUUGGAAUGACUUAAAUCCAAACCCCUUUCGGAGUAACAAUUGGAGGGCAAGUCUGGUGCCAGCAGCCGCGGUAAUUCCAGCUCCAAUAGCGUAUAUUAGCGUUGUUGCAGUUAAAAAGCUCGUAGUUGUAUUUCUGCUGGGUUCGGCCGGUGCGCUUUUGUGUAACCGUGUUUCCCCCAGCAUUUUCGCGGUAGCUUUCCUUCCUUAAUCGGUUGGUUUGUAUUUCCGCGACUUUUACUUUGAGAAAAACAGAGUGUUUCAAGCAGGCUUUUGCCUUGAAUACUGCANCAUGGAAUAAUAAGAUAGGACUUUGGUUUUAUUUUGUUGGUUCUAGAA
rnacentral:rRNA from 1 species